GAUGUGAAAUCCCCGGGCUCAACCUGGGAAUUGCAUUGGAGACUGCAAGGCUAGAAUCUGGCAGAGGGGGGUAGAAUUCCACGUGUAGCAGUGAAAUGCGUAGAUAUAUGAAGGAACACCAGUGGCGAAGGCGGCCACCUGGACUGAUACUGACACUGAGGUGCGAAAGCGUGGGGAGCAAACAGGAUUAGAAACCCUUGUAGUCC
rnacentral:rRNA from 1 species